rnacentral:rRNA from 1 species
AACGAACGCUGGCGGCAUGCCUAACACAUGCAAGUCGAACGAGAUCUUCGGGUCUAGUGGCGCACGGGUGCGUAACGCGUGGGAAUCUGCCCUUUGGUUCGGAAUAACAGUUGGAAACGACUGCUAAUACCGGAUGAUGACGAAAGUCCAAAGAUUUAUCGCCAGAGGAUGAGCCCGCGUAGGAUUAGCUAGUUGGUGUGGUAAAGGCGCACCAAGGCGACGAUCCUUAGCUGGUCUGAGAGGAUGAUCAGCCACACUGGGACUGAGACACGGCCCAGACUCCUACGGGAGGCAGCAGUGGGGAAUAUUGGACGAUGGGCGAAAGCCUGAUGCAGCAAUGCCGCGUGAGUGAUGAAGGCCUUAGGGUUGUAAAGCUCUUUUACCCGGGAUGAUAAUGACAGUACCGGGAGAAUAAGCUCCGGCUAACUCCGUGCCAGCAGCCGCCGUAA